CUCGCGCAGUGUUGAAGCGAACCCGAGACUUUGUCCUUGGGGCUACGCUCUCGCCUGGGAGGGGAGACAGACACAAGGCAUCGACAGCUAGGUCCAAUGAAGCGUGGGGACUCAUCUUCUGCAAGCGAGCGUACACAUAUAAAAGGGACGCCCAUCCGACAUGCGUUCCAGAUUCGAUCUGAGCGUGUGCUAUUGUUGUCGCGAUAGAGCAAGCAAGCAGCGGCCACUCCCCACACCAGGGGGACCAAAGAGAACGACGAAGACAAGCGCUGCGACAGGCGGUGCGUUACAUCACUUUCAAGGCACACGAGCGCCGGCAACGCGUCCGCGAUUCGCGUGGCCAACGCCGUAGUAGACGCCGCGGUUGCCUCCACUCUGUACGGAGCAGCGGGAGAGGAGGACAUCGAGGCAGCAGCCGCCGGAGAAGAACGCUCCUCCUCCCUCGCCUGACCCCCCGCCUCGCGCGCUACAGGAGAGGGCACGCACCCGGGCCGCGUUCCUCGCUCGCGCACGCGAGGUUGAACCGCGUUCGCCAGCUCACCCUCACACGCUUUCACUCAUACGGAACCUCACGGCGACAGCGACGCCGACGGCAGAAAUGCGCCUGGAGUGUCCAUAUAACUGCUAUCGCAAUAAAACAUGACAUUAUAUCAUUGAUUGACUGAUAUGAUAUACCAUGAUUCAUGAUAUAUAUGAUAUCAUGAUAUAUAUACACCAGAAAAAAGCAGUUCCGGGUCCGGGUAAAUAUUCACAGUGAA